GGAACUAACUCAGAUCCUGACUACACCACCCUCUAAGGUAUUUGAGUAUAGAGCAUCUAUGCAUCUUUCCUUACUUUGACUCCCCCAAGUUUUUUGGUUUUGUGCAUCUUUAACAUAGCUGUUGUUAAAACACAGUAUGGUAGUAUUCGCAGAUAUAUCUGGGCUUUAAAUUACACUCACGCACACACACACACAUAGCUUUUGUAUUCACAGUUAAUAGGCUGACUUCCUCAUUGAAGUCCUCUCUGCUUUUUUCACAUUUCUGAACACACAAGGCCAGAGACACAGAAAGCAAACAGGAGUAGUGGGCGUCAAUUUGCUGAGAGACGCUGUGGAAAACAGACAAUGAUGAUAACAUGUUCAGCACAUACAGAGAUGGGAGGUGGAGGAGGAGGGCGGCACGAAAACUGAAGGAGCAGGAAACAGAAAGAGGUCACAGAGGUGGCUCGAACACCCAGGAUGAUGAAAAUUAAAAUGAGGAUUAGUAAGAGAAAAAAAGAGAGAGGGCAGAGAGCGACAGAGACGGGAGGAGGAACGGUGUCACGAGAGCGCCCUAACCUUCAUUCUUUCUGUGUCAAGUAAUAUUCCCCAAUCUCCUCUGCUCUCCUUUCUUCGCAGCAGAAGAAAACCUGCAGCCUGUUUGCUGGUCAUGCCCCCAGCGCCUGACGCUCAUCCUGCUGGAGCAUUACAUUAACCGAGGAAAGGCUGCGGUCUUGUGUGUGUGAGAGAGAUAGAGCUUUGAGGGGGUUUUAAGACAGACCAAGGAUUUCCUCUGUUGUGAACCUAGAUCUGGGAACAGCCUUCCCUUAAACCAAAUUCUUAUUCAAACCAUCCGAGCGGAAACUGAACUACAG